rnacentral:rRNA from 1 species
CCUAUGGGUGGCAGCAGUGGGGAAUAUUGGACAAUGGGGGCAACCCUGAUCCAGCCAUGCCGCGUGUGUGAAGAAGGCCCUCGGGUUGUAAAGCACUUUCAGUGAGGAAGAACGCCUGGUGGUUAAUACCCAUCAGGAAAGACAUCACUCACAGAAGAAGCACCGGCUAACUCCGUGCCAGCAGCCGCGGUAAUACGGAGGGUGCGAGCGUUAAUCGGAAUUACUGGGCGUAAAGCGCGCGUAGGUGGCUUGAUAAGCCGGUUGUGAAAGCCCCGGGCUCAACCUGGGAACGGCAUCCGGAACUGUCAAGCUAGAGUGCAGGAGAGGAAGGUAGAAUUCCCGGUGUAGCGGUGAAAUGCGUAGAGAUCGGGAGGAAUACCAGUGGCGAAGGCGGCCUUCUGGACUGACACUGACACUGAGGUGCGAAAGCGUGGGUAGCAAACAGGAUUAGAUACCCCGGUAGUC